rnacentral:rRNA from 1 species
GACGGAGGGGGCAAGCGUUGUUCGGAAUUAUUGGGCGUAAAGGGCUUGUAGGCGGACAGGUUAGUCUGGCGUGAAAUCUCCACCGCUCACCGGGGAGGGGCCGCUGGAAACUGCCUGUCUGGAGUUCGGUAGAGGGUCAUGGAAUUCCGCAUGUAGCGGUGGAAUGCGUAGAUAUGCGGAAGAACACCUGUGGCGAAGGCGGUGGCCUGGGCCGAAACUGACGCUGAGGAGCGAAAGCUAGGGGAGCAAACGGGAUUAGAUACCCCGGUAGUCCUAGCCGUAAACGUUGGAUACUAGGUGUGGGGGGUAUCGACCCCUCCUGUGCCGCAGCUAACGCAUUAAGUAUCCCGCCUGGGGAGUACGGCCGCAAGGUUGAA